rnacentral:rRNA from 1 species
GACAGAGGGUGCAAGCGUUGUUCGGAAUUAUUGGGCGUAAAGGGCGCGUAGGCGGCGACUAAAGUCAGCUGUGAAAGCUCUGGGCUCAACCCAGAAAGUGCAUCUGAUACUGAGUUGCUUGAAUCCCGGAGAGGGUGGUGGAAUUCCUGGUGUAGAGGUGAAAUUCGUAGAUAUCAGGAGGAACACCGGUGGCGAAGGCGACCACCUGGACGGAGAUUGACGCUGAGGCGCGAAAGCGUGGGGAGCAAACAGGAUUAGAUACCCUGGUAGUCCACGCUGUAAACUAUGGGUGCUAGGUGUUGUGGGUAUUGACCCCUACAGUGCCGACGCUAACGCAUUAAGCACCCCGCCUGGGAAGUACGGCCGCAAGGCUAAA